AUGACGGGGUCUAUAGGAGGAGGGCUUGGUUAGAGGAAGUGAUCCCUGGGGGAAUGACCUAGGAAGAAUAUAUUGUUCCCUGUGCUCUCCCUACUCUGCUUCUGGCUCCCACAAGUUAACAUGGAACUUGAUGACCUGUCAUGAUCUUUCAAGUUGAACAGAUCCUUAGAGAGCAAUGAAGCCAAAAGGCUGUGUGUGAGUUCUAAUUUAUAAAGUGCGUGGAAAUGGUCACUCCCAUCCUCACAAGAAAACGCUGAACCAGUGGAAAUCAACAACAUUUCUUGGACUCGUCAGACAACUGAGGUUGCAGGGCAGCCUUCUACCCUGGAAUCACAGCUGAACUCUGCUUAACUAGAGCAGAAGCUGUUGAGGCUAUGAACUGGUGGCUCCUUGGGGGUAGAGAGAAGAUAUGAGUCUAUGGGGAUAGUUUCUCCAUUACAUAAAGUCAUCUCAGGCCUGCUAUACCUGUCUCUACCCAGGAUUAUCACCCCCUGAAGAGUUGUAGUGGUUGGUGAGAAUAAUAACUGUAAGGCUAUAAUCAGAGCUAUUCCCAGAUUGUUGAAUCUUUGGAAAACUGACACAAACUGCAGACCCUCCUUUGGAAGAUGCACACCUGUGCUUAUUCAUUCAUAAGAUUUUGAACAUCAUUUCAGUGCACCCAAGAACCCUCUGAAACUCAUUUAGGAGACCCAUAUUAACAACUCCUAGUCUAAUUCAUAUUAUAAAAGAAGAAAUUGAGAUUUAAAGAGACUAAAUGAUAUGUCAAAAAGCAGAAGGAGUAGAAGGAAAGAUAUGCUUAGGUUCCAUAAAGUCUAAUCUGUUCCUUUUUCUCCUUCUGCUUCUCUCCUCCUCCAUCUCUUCCUCCUCUUCCUCCCCUACAUCUUC